rnacentral:lncRNA from 1 species
UUCAAGCAUUAAAAACUAACCUUCUGUGAAUUCUGCUGCUCUAUGAAAUGCAUCUCACUUGAGAGACUCAUUUUGAACUACUUUAACUUAACGAGGCAUUUUAAAACCAUGCUGCUAGACGUUUGACAGAUCUGCAUGACCUCUGUGUGUCUCUCAGAUCUCUGCAGGACGUUCAUACAGCAGCCGAUGCUCAACAUGGUCCGAACGGCACUGAAAGAUCACAAGGACAGUAAGAAGGACAAAGCGGGCCGGAGCAUGUCUCUCACAGGUCCUGGACCGGUCAAAGUGACCGAGUCGUUCUCAUGGGACGCGUAUUUAACAGAGUCGUCGUCCGUUCCCGCUCUUCCCAGCUGCUUCAGACAGGUGAGACCGGCAGUCAAAUCCCGUCAGGACUCGUCUCUGAGGAAUGAUGGGAUGGCCAUGUUUUUAACUUUUCAUGUGUUCUGUGAAUAAAAAUCACAUUAACCCUUUAAAGCCUACUGUAUCAUAUUUGAUUACAUUUCUAAGGCUCUAAAUGAUCAUCAUGAUCAAACUCUGCUGUCGCACAUAAUCUCCUGCAUGCCUUCUGUCUCUGAUUGAGAGUUUUGAGUUUUUUAUCCAGUCAGAGCUCUCUUUUAGUGUAACUGUUGCUGGAGCUUCACG